rnacentral:rRNA from 1 species
AUUGAACGCUGGCGGCAGGCCUAACACAUGCAAGUCGAACGAGUGGCGGACGGGUGAGUAAUGUCUGGGAAACUGCCUGAUGGAGGGGGAUAACUACUGGAAACGGUAGCUAAUACCGCAUACCAUCGGAUGUGCCCAGAUGGGAUUAGCUAGUAGGUGGGGUAACGGCUCACCUAGGCGACGAUCCCUAGCUGGUCUGAGGGGAUGACAAGCCAAACGGGAACAGAGAGACGGUCCAGACUCCGACGGGAGGAAGCAGGGGGGAAUAUGGGACAAUGGGAGAAAGCCUGAAGCAGCCAUGCCGCGUGGAUGAAGAAGGCCUGCGGGUUGUAAAGUACUUUCAGCGUGGAGGCGUUACCCGGAGAAGAAGCACCGGCUAACUCCGUGCCAGCAGCCGCGGUAAUAC